rnacentral:lncRNA from 1 species
CAAGGUCGUGCAGAAGGCCUGUUUCCUAGGCUACAGAGCGGGGACUAGGUCCUUAUCUUCCACCAAGGGGAAAGUCCCCUGACUUCGGGCAGAGAGUGCCACGUGCAUGCACACAUAGACGUCCCUCCGCUUCCCAGUGUAGAGGCCACCAAGAAGCGAAUCCCAAAUGCAUAAGCCAGGAAUCACGGCAUCGUCUUUGAAUUGUUCACUCCACAUCCAAUAGAUCUUAUAGUUCUGUUGCUUA